ACCUCAAGUCAUGUGAGAGUACCCGCUGAACUUAAGCAUAUCAAUAAGCGGAGGAAAAGAAACUAACAAGGAUUCCCCUAGUAACGGCGAGUGAAGUGGGAAGAGCACAAAUUUUAAAUCUACUUGGUUUCCAGGUUGAGUUGUAAUUUGAGGAUACGUUUUUGAUAUUCCUGGUUGGACUAAAUCCUUUGGGAUAAGGUAUCAUAGAGGGUGAGAAUCCCGUGUAUACCAACCACAGGGAUGUUAUUUAAUAACGUUUCUAAGAGUCGAGUUGUUUGGGAAUGCAGCUCUAAAUGGGUGGUAAAUUUCACCUAAUGCUAAAUAUAAGCGAGAGACCGAUAGCGAACAAGUACAGUGAUGGAAAGAUGAAAAGAACUUUGAAAAGAGAGUUAAAUAGUACGUGAAAUUGUUGAAAGGGAAACGAUUGAAGUCAGUCAUGCUAGUGGGAAUCAACUUAGAGGAAACUCUGGGUGCACUUCUUCGCUUGGCAGGUUAGUGUCGAUUUUGGGUGUCAUAAAAUGACUGGGGGAAGGUAGCUCCCUUGGGAGUGUUAUAGCCCUUGGUAGAUGUGAUGUCUGGGAUCGAGGAUUGCAACGGAUACCCUUUAGGGCUAGUCACCUGAUCUCUAAUUAGUAUUGAAUUACGGACAGCAUGCUGGCCGUGAUUUAAUUAUUGGUUAAAAGGUUAGAGUGUACAUAAAUUUGUUAAGGACACUGACAUAAUGGCUUUAAACGACCCGUCUUGAAACACGGACCAAGGAGUCUAACAUGUAUGCGAGUGUUAGGGUAUUAAACCCAGACGCAAAAUUAAAGUGAGUGUAGGUGGGAUCCUUUAUUGGAGCACCAUCGACCGAUCUUGAGAUUCAUCGAUAGAAUUGAGUUAGAGCAUACCUGUUGGGACCCGAAAGAUGGUGAACUAUGCCUGAAUAGAGUGAAGCCAGAGGAAACUCUGGU
rnacentral:rRNA from 1 species